UACGAAGGGGGCUAGCGUUGCUCGGAAUCACUGGGCGUAAAGCGCACGUAGGCGGCUUUUUAAGUCAGAGGUGAAAGCCUGGGGCUCAACUCCAGAAUUGCCUUUGAAACGGGACGCGUUGAGUCCGAGAGAGGAUGGCGGAAUUCCUAGUGUAGAGGUGAAAUUCGUAGAUAUUAGGAAGAACACCGGUGGCGAAGGCGGCCAUCUGGCUCGGUACUGACGCUCAGGUUCGAAAGCGUGGGGAGCAAACAGGG
rnacentral:rRNA from 1 species